AAAUCCCCGGGGCUCAACCUGGGAACUGCAUCUGAUACUGGCAAGCUUGAGUCUCGUAGAGGGGGGUAGAAUUCCAGGUGUAGCGGUGAAAUGCGUAGAGAUCUGGAGGAAUACCGGUGGCGAAGGCGACCCCCUGGACGAAGACUGACGCUCAGGUGCGAAAGCGUGGAGAGCAAACAGGAUUAGAUACCCUGGUAGUACACGCCGUAAACGAUGUCGACUUGGAGGUUGUGCCCUUGAGGCGUGGCUUCCGGAGCUAACGCGUUAAGUCGACCGCCUGGGGAGUACGGCCGCAAGGUUAAAACUCAAAUGAAUUGACGGGGGCCCGCACAAGCGGUGGAGCAUGUGGUUUAAUUCGAUGCAACGCGAAGAACCUUACCUGGUCUUGACAUCCACGGAAGUUUUCAGAGAUGAGAAUGUGCCUUCGGGAACCGUGAGACAGGUGCUGCAUGGCUGUCGUCAGCUCGUGUUGUGAAAUGUUGGGUUAAGUCCCGCAACGAGCGCAACCCUUAUCCUUUGUUGCCAGCGGUCCGGCCGGGAACUCAAAGGAGACUGCCAGUGAUAAACUGGAGGAAGGUGGGGAUGACGUCAAGUCAUCAUGGCCCUUACGACCAGGGCUACACACGUGCUACAAUGGCGCAUACAAAGAGAAGCGACCUCGCGAGAGCAAGCGGACCUCAUAAAGUGCGUCGUAGUCCGGAUUGGAGUCUGCAACUCGACUCCAUGAAGUCGGAAUCGCUAGUAAUCGUGGAUCAGAAUGCCACGGUGAAUACGUUCCCGGGCCUUGUACACACCGCCCGUCACACCAUGGGAGUGGGUUGCAAAAGAAGUAGGUAGCUUAACCUUCGGGAGGGCGCUUACCAAUUUGUGAUUCAUGACUGGGGUGAAGUCGUAAC
rnacentral:rRNA from 1 species